GAUGAACGCUGGCGGCGUGCUUAACACAUGCAAGUCGAACGAAGCACUUUAUUUGAUUUCCUUCGGGAUUGAUUAUUUUGUGACUGAGUGGCGGACGGGUGAGUAACGCGUGGGUAACCUGCCUUGUACAGGGGGAUAACAGUUGGAAACGGCUGCUAAUACCGCAUAAAGCGCACAGCAUCGCAUGAUGCAGUGUGAAAAACUCCGGUGGUAUAAGAUGGACCCGCGUUGGAUUAGCUAGUUGGUGAGGUAACGGCCCACCAAAGGCGACGAUCCAUAGCCGACCUGAGAGGGUGACCGGCCACAUUGGGACUGAGACACGGCCCAAAACUCCCUACGGGGAGGCAGCAGUGGGGAAUAUUGCACAAUGGGCGAAAAGGCCUGAUGCAGCGACGCCGCGUGAGCGAAGAAGUAUUUCCGGUGUGUAAACUUUCUAUUACAGCAGGAGAAA
rnacentral:rRNA from 1 species